rnacentral:rRNA from 1 species
CACGUAGGCGGAUCAGUCAGUUAGGGGUGAAAUCCCAGGGCUCAACCCUGGAACUGCCUUUAAUACUGCUGGUCUAGAGUUCGAGAGAGGUGAGUGGAAUUCCGAGUGUAGAGGUGAAAUUCGUAGAUAUUCGGAGGAACACCAGUGGCGAAGGCGGCUCACUGGCUCGAUACUGACGCUGAGGUGCGAAAGCGUGGGAGCAAACA